GACGAACGCUGGCGGCGUGCUUAACACAUGCAAGUCGAACGGUAAGGCCCUUCGGGGUACACGAGUGGCGAACGGGUGAGUAACACGUGGGUGAUCUGCCCUGCACUUCGGGAUAAGCCUGGGAAACUGGGUCUAAUACCGGAUAGGACCACUGCCUGCAUGGGUGGUGGUGGAAGGCUUUUGCGGUGUGGGAUGGGCCCGCGGCCCAUCAGCUUGUUGGUGGGGUGAUGGCCUACCAAGGCGACGACGGGUAGCCGGCCUGAGAGGGUGACCGGCCACACUGGGACUGAGAUACGGCCCAGACUCCUACGGGAGGCAGCAGUGGGGAAUACUGCACAAUGGGCGCAAGCCUGAUGCAGCGACGCCGCGUGAGGGAUGACGGCCUUCGGGUUGUAAACCUCUUUCAGCACCGACGAAGCGCAAGUGACGGUAGGUGCAGAAGAAGGACCGGCCAACUACGUGCCAGCAGCCGCAGUAA
rnacentral:rRNA from 1 species